GCUGGUUCUUGCUCAUCUUGUGCUGGAAAAGUUACUGCUGGAAGUGUUGAUCAGUCUGAUGGAAACUUCCUUGAUGAGGACCAAGAAGCUGCUGGAUUUGUGCUUACUUGUGUUGCUUACCCAAAGGGUGAUGUUACCAUUGAGACUCACAAGGAGGAGGAGCUUACUGCUUAAAUUACAACCAUUUCCAUUUUAAUAAAAAACAACACUUCAUUUUGUUUCAUGAGCAUUUACUUUUCACAUUUUCCCUCUAUUGUUAUCACAAAAGUUGCUAUCUAGUUAUUUGUGACAACCCUUUUAUCUCCUUACAUAAUGAUGCAACUGUUUAUUAAUUAAUUUUCAUCUAUAUUGCUA
rnacentral:misc_RNA from 1 species